rnacentral:lncRNA from 1 species
AGAGUUUAGUCACUGGACAAGACAAAGGUUCAUACAAAAAAUAACAAUUAUCUCACUAAUCAUACAAAAUUCAUAACUACAAAAAAAAGAAAAAAAAAACAUUUCUUAAUAAAGAGAGUGAAAAAAAAAACCACCAAAUUGUUCCAAGCGCUAAAUGCCUAAAAUAUACCAGUCCUGGGCAAUCGGGAACCAAUCGGGUUUUGGGUCAGGUAAUUUCGGUGGCGGGUGAAUCGGUAUAAAGCAUAUAGAUCCUAAUUGGUAUUUUACAAAAAUUCAGAUCGAUUCGGUUAGUAACUGGCCGGGUUCAGGUCGGUUUUCUUCUCCAAUACAAAAUCCG